AAGUUUGAUCGUGGCUCAGAACGAACGCUGGCGGCAGGCUUAACACAUGCAAGUCGAGCGCGCCCUUCGGGGUGAGCGGCGGACGGGUGAGUAACGCGUGGGAACGUGCCCUCUUCUUCGGAAUAGCCCUGGGAAACUGGGAGUAAUGCCGGAUACGCCGGGCCAUAGCGAUAUGGUUCGGGAAAGAUUUAUCGGAGGAGGAUCGGCCCGCGUUGGAUUAGGUAGUUGGUGGGGUAACGGCCUACCAAGCCGACGAUCCAUAGCUGGUUUGAGAGGAUGACCAGCCACACUGGGACUGAGACACGGCCCAGACUCCUACGGGAGGCAGCAGUGGGGAAUCUUGGACAAUGGGGGCAACCCUGAUCCAGCCAUGCCGCGUGAGCGAUGAAGGCCUUAGGGUUGUAAAGCUCUUUCAGCGGGGAAGAUAAUGACGGUACCCGCAGAAGAAGCUCCGGCUAACUUCGUGCCAGCAGCCGCUGU
rnacentral:rRNA from 2 species